ensembl:rRNA 5S_rRNA 5S ribosomal RNA
UGUGGCCAUACCACCCUGAACACACCCAUCUCAGAAGCUAAACAGGGUUGGGCCUGGUUAGCGCUUGGAUAGGAGACCACCAGGGAAGACAUGCCAUGCUUUCAUAC